GAUGAAGAACGCAGCGAAAUGCGAUAAGUAGUGUGAAUUGCAGAAUUCAGUGAAUCAUCGAAUCUUUGAACGCACAUUGCGCCCUUUGGUAUUCCUUAGGGCAUGCCUGUUCGAGCGUUAUUUGAACCCUCAAGCCCAGCUUGGUGUUGGGUGAUUGUCCCACGCUCCGUGGAGACUCGCCUUGAAGCUAUUGGUGGCCGUCCAGGGAAGCCGAUUCGCAGUACAUUCUGUUGCGAACUCUGGCUCCCGGGCCGGCGUCCAGGAAGGACGCUCCUCUGAGAAUUGACCUCGGAUCAGGUAGGGAUACCCGCUGAACUUAAGCAUAUCAAUAAGCGGAGGA
rnacentral:misc_RNA from 1 species